UGGAGGACUUAAUCUUCACGUGAUACUGUGAGGCUGUUUGAGGAACUUAUCUUAUGAAACCCAAGUGUUAUUUGGGAGCUUAUCAGGAAUGUUUUAUGAGAGGAAAAGAGAGCAGAGCCUAGCUGUGUCAUGGAAUAUUCCUUCCUUUCUUCCAUUACCCCAAGCCCUGUGCUGUUGCAUUUCUUGCUGUGUAUUAUUGACAGAGGAAAUGCUGAUUCAUGGGUCUGAGUUACAGGAAACUUUGUUUCCUGGUGAAGAAACAAGCCUGGCGGUGCUGCCAGCACCCUCCUCUGCCAAUUUCUGCCACGGGCCCUUCUCCCAGGCCUACACCGGACUGACGGACAAGGGACAGAGCCAAUUUGUGCUUAAGCAAUGAAGUCACUUUCCCUUGCCAGUGAGGUUAGCACCAUGCCUCUCUAGACCCUUCAGCUCUGACCCCAGGAUACCUUUCCAGUUCGGCUCCCCCCCACCCUCCCUCCUCACAUGGUGAGCUGUGGCCACACAUGACUACUCCGGGUCCUUUGCAAACACCAUGUAUUUUCCAGUCUCAGUGCUUUGGCUCAGGAUGUGCCCUGCCUGGAAUGGCCCCUGACCCAGUGUCGGCUCACUGAAAUCCUACCCAUGCUUCCAUCCCGCUCAAUGGUGACCUGCAAUGUGACACCUCCUAGCUUUCUUUCUCUUUGUUUUUAUUCUUCUUAGGAGGGUAUUUUCUAAUAUGCAGACUGAGCUCAAACCUGGAUUUUGGAAGAACAGCAAGAGUUCAUCUGGAUGUCCUGCUGAGGCACCCUGAUUUUACCAUGUCAAAAUGGAAGGAAGCAUCUGGUCAUCAGCCAAGAAGCCAUUGCCACUGGGGUGGAAAAUAGAAAAUGUGUAUAGAUUUUCCUCAUAAAAUUAAAUUAAAAUGCAAUUUGAGAUCCUUUCCUUGAAAA